rnacentral:lncRNA from 1 species
AGGCUCACAAACAUGUUCGCGAACAAUCGAAUUCAAACAUGUUCGCGAACUCAACGAGCCGAGCACUGUCAGGCUCGAGCUCGGCUCGAUAAAAAUUUCGAGCUCGAAAUCAGGCUCGAGCUCAGCUCGUUUAUUAUAGAAUCAAACUCCGAACGAGUUUUUUUCGAGUCGAAUGUCGAAUAGCUUGCGAGUAGCUUUAUUCAUUUACAGUCCUAUAUAUAAUAUAACCCACCAAAUGCUCCCACUUGUCAAAAAGAAAAAAAUGUAACAAAGA